UACGUAGGGGGCAAGCGUUGUCCGGAAUCAUUGGGCGUAAAGCGCGUGUAGGCGGCCCGGUAAGUCCGCUGUGAAAGUCCAGGGCUCAACCCUGGGAUGCCGGUGGAUACUGUCGGGCUCGAGUCCGGAAGAGGAGUGUGGAAUUCCUGGUGUAGCAGUGAAAUGCGUAGAGAUCAUGAGGAAGACCAGUGGCGAAGGCGGGUCUCUGGACAGUUCCUGACACUGAGACACGAAGGCCAGGGGAGCAAACGGG
rnacentral:rRNA from 1 species